UUGACCUCGAAUCAGGUAGGAAUACCCGCUGAACUUAAGCAUAUCAAUAAGCGGAGGAAAAGAAACCAACAGGGAUUGCCCCAGUAACGGCGAGUGAAGCGGCAACAGCUCAAAUUUGAAAUCUGGCUCUCGGGCCCGAGUUGUAAUUUGUAGAGGAUGCUUUUGGUGAGGUGCCUUCCGAGUUCCCUGGAACGGGACGCCAUAGAGGGUGAGAGCCCCGUCUGGUUGGACACCGAUCCUCUGUAAAGCUCCUUCGACGAGUCGAGUAGUUUGGGAAUGCUGCUCUAAAUGGGAGGUAUAUGUCUUCUAAAGCUAAAUACCGGCCAGAGACCGAUAGCGCACAAGUAGAGUGAUCGAAAGAUGAAAAGAACUUUGAAAAGAGAGUUAAACAGUACGUGAAAUUGUUGAAAGGGAAGCGCUUGUGACCAGACUUGGGCUUGGUUGAUCAUCCGGGGUUCUCCCCGGUGCACUCUUCCGGCUCAGGCCAGCAUCAGUUCGCCCUGGGGGAUAAAGGCUUCGGGAAUGUGGCUCUCUCCGGGGAGUGUUAUAGCCCGCUGCGUAAUACCCUGUGGCGGACUGAGGUUCGCGCAUUCGCAAGGAUGCUGGCGUAAUGGUCAUCAGUGACCCGUCUUG
rnacentral:rRNA from 1 species